UGUAGUUUAGGUUAGUUUUGAACUCACUAUGUAGCCCAGGCUAGCCUCAAACACAUGGCAAUAACAUAGAUUAUUUUAUACUUAGAAAAAACUGCAACUUUUAACUUGUAAUUAUAUGCAGUAUGAAUCAAUUGUUGCAAGCUUUCCAAGAAGACAUUUCAUUAUUUUAUAUUAAAACUAAGGCAGUAAAACUGCACAUAAGCAUAAUGGGAAAUAAAAGUAAACUGAUGUAGAAUUUCUUGACUACAUAGACAGUUUGAAGUAGGUCUUACUACCUUGCAAAUAUCUGACUCCAAGAAUGCCUUUUUGUGUGUAGCUUUCAAAGAUGCUUCCAGAGUCAUGAUCAGUCUUUGUUAGUAUCAACCUGAUUAAAGGGAAAUGUAUGCAUAAUAUAAAAUAAUUUUCUUAAAUUACCUAGGGAUUACAUCUGUUUUCUAAUCAAUGCUGCAAUAUGAAUGCAUGACAAUUAGGGCCAGUCUGACCUCCACAGAUAUUGGUAGAAAAAAUUGAAACAAAACACUCCACAUUAUACUAAAUCAGAAAAUAGAUAUCUGUCUCUAUUUUAUGCUUCAAAUUUGAUAGUACAAAAUACAUAUAUACCUGAUAUCUCAGGAUCAUUAUAUUUGUGUCACCUAAUGACUAAUUAGGUUGAUAUUGUCUUCCUCUCCUCUUGAAACCAUCUGCUUGAGGAAAAAAAUUACCAUUCCAGAAUAAAAAGUGUUUUAGCCAAGCAGUAAGGAGUUUAAGUUUAAAUGCUCUUAGCACUUUUCAUAAAAAGGCACAACUUGCUAACUCAAAUCGAAAGUAGAUAACCUCGUGAAAUCCUCUUCAGCACCUUCUACAGUCUGUGUUAAAUUCAGUUAAAAAGGUGAAUUCCAUAAAAGCCAAAGAAAUCCAUUUGAAACUUGGGGUGUGGCCUGAGGAUGUAGCUCAGUGGCAUGGCCCCUGCCUGACAAGCAUGAGGUCCUGAGUUCACUUCCCAGUUCUGAAAAAAAAAGGAAACUUGGGGAGCUACCACUCAACAGAGAUUUCAGUUCAGUACUAGCAGCUCAAAUAUUCAGGUAAAAGUCACUAAAGUGAACUGGUGAGCUUCAGUUACACUGCAUAUGAUGUCCAUAUGGGUUUUUUGCUUGGAGGGAGGAGGACAAGUCAAGUGUUGCAAAGAAAGGAAAAUACUUUAAUUAGGGGGACCAUGGGGUCUCUCAGAAGAAUGAAAAUUUGAGCUCAGACCUGACAGAAGUGAGACCAUGUAAUGAUCUAGAGGAAAUGCUCCACAAAGAGGAAAACUCAAGUCCACCGACUCUGAAGUGGGAGCAAGCUUAGAGAAAACACCAAGAAGGCCCACGCGGCCAGAGCAGUGUGAGACACAGUCCUGGACACAGAGCAGGCCCAGCUCUGGAGUGAUGGGAAGCUCAGGCUGCCCAGACUAGCCUACCUGGGCUCCGACGGGGGAUGUGCCUUUCCCUGAUGUCAGUUCCUUCCAUGCUUGAUGCUAAUGAGCAGAACAUUUGAUGCAGAGUGCAUGUCUGACUGCACCAUACGUGAUCUUCACAGGGAAGCAGAGGAUACAGGUGAACGGUACAGUCGGCGUCACCCUCCAGCUUUCCCCAGCGUACAGCCCAAGCACACUGUGUUCUUCUAAUCCUAAACCUGCUUGUCAGCAAGUGAUCUCAUUCUGUGCAGCACAGGAAUGUCCCAACUCCUAACCACACCACCAACAGCCCGGCUGAAUCCAAGCGGACUUUGUGUAGCUCUGUUUCACAUUCAUCUCUAUUGCAUUUAAAUAAUACCAUUGCUACUGGGGAAGGUGAAAGGUUAAUUUCAGGGUGACCCAGAGGAAAGUAAACACAACUGGAACUGUCUUUGGUUCAAUUCCAACUGUGUCUUCUUUUUCCAACACAUCUUGGAAGAGAAAUGAAGAUCAUUACAUAGUUCCAUCUCCUUAGGAAGGCAGCCUGGACAGUCUGUGCUUCAGUGAAGCUGAAAUCCUGUCCUAACUACAGCCAUUCUAUUCUAUGCCACUGAACUCAGCUACAUCAUAGGAUUUGGCAUCAAAUUGAAACUUCUGUGAAUGUGCUAAUAACAACUUUGCUAUAUACAUCUGUGCCCACCAGAAGAUACCCAUUGAACCAUAGCCUUCAGCUAAGCUUACCUAGAUUUUUUUGUACCUCCUACUUGCCACCCUAUAGAAAAGUUAAACUCUGUAAUCAGUGCCUCAGACUUUGCAGAUUACUCUUCUGGGGACCAGUGGCUUUAAUAAAGUUGUCUUUCUUCUCCUGAGCUCCUGGCUACUGUUGACUCAGUUUUCCUGCAACAUGAGCAGGAUUCUUGGUCCUCAGGAAAGACAUGCAGUUGGAUCCUCAUUCUCAGGAGUGGUCUCUGUGAUUUGUCUCUUUGUGAGAUCAGCCAGUAUAGCCAUGGAGGAAACCACGGAAGCACCAUGUCCUUUAGUAUACUGCUCAGUCCCUUUUUGGGUCCCUUGGGGUCUUCUGGGAAGCACAUGCUAAAGGGAGUCCAAAGUUCAGAAGAAUUCCUGGGAAAGAUGAAGGAGAGAGGGAAGGGAAGGGAAGCCUCAGACACAUUGCAGGCUAUUUGUGAAGGGGGAGGAGGGCAGGGGGAGGAUGGAGGAGGAGAACCUCAUUAUGUAAAGACAAUGGGGAGAAAGUCCCAAAACCCCAAGAGGAGCUCCUGGAAGGAUAAGGCAUUGGCUGAGCCUGUGCCAGGACCGCACAGAUGGGCUCAAGUGAGAUGGACAUUGCUGAGCUCAUGUUGGCUGGCUGCAGUCCUCGCUCAGGCUCUCCGUCAAAGGGGUCUGGGCAGCACAUCUCAAGCCUACCACACCGUCAGGUUUCAAGCUCAGCCUCCUGUGUAGCUGUCAGUUGGCUUUUGCUGUAUAACAAACCAACCUAAAACAGGAACGGAACAAAAAUAAAUACAUAAAAAUAUAUUUUUGGAGUUUUUUUUUUUUAAAUAGGGUCUCUCUAUGUAGUCCAUGCUGGCCUUAAACUCACUAUGUAGUCCACUGAACAUGAUCUUGGAGCCAAAUCCAAAACAACAGACUUCACUCUCUUCCAGAGCCUGUUAUGGCUUGUGUCUAGAUGUCCCGCCAAAGCCUCAUGAGGUCUAAGGUGGGGCUUUUGAGAAGUGGCUGGAUCUAGAAUGUGUGAUCGGUUCAUGGUGCAAUGUUGGGAGUAGGGAUGUGUGAUUACUAAAUCCGUCCACUGAGUAAUUUGGCACUGCCCAAUCCUGGUAGCCUAGAUAGAGUAUAAAAGGGACAAAAAAGCUGCUAAAGCCCCUGGUUGCUUUUGCUACGUUCUGUCUGCUAUGAACUGUUCUGCUCUGCCAAGCCACCCUGCCUUGGGGCUAGCCAAUUAUGGACUGAAAGCUUUAUAAAAUGUGCACUAAAUAAACCUUACCCCCCUUUAACUUCGAGUGUCAGGUAUUUUGUCUCAGCCACAAGAAAAGUGACUAAGACAGAGCCCCUUACCUUCUCUAAAUAUAAAGAAAAAUUAUUAAAGUAAGUCCAGCAGAAGAGAAAGUAAUAAUCUGGAUGAGCUCUAUCUUAGCUUCUGCAGAAAAAAAAGGAACAACAGUAAGAAGAAAUCUUUCGGAACAGCCACAGACGCCACACAGAAAACAACUGCUGCUAGCACCCGUGGGCUUCGUGUCAUUUUCCUAUCAAGAGAUCCAACCAACAGCGCCCAGCCACAGGUCUCAGCAUCACCAUUCCCGUCACACACAUCUCCCACACCUGAGUACGGGAAGCCCCCAAUUUAUGAACAUUCGAGUUGUGCACUGUCACAGAUAAAAACAGGCCUCCCAUUGUGAACAUUCGUAGAUGUGAACAAAUCAUAUGUGUGAAGUAGCUCAUGCGUCUGCUGGACAUUGCCGUGGUGCUGCUGUGUGCUUAUGGUGCAGUGAGAUAGUGUACGGUAGCACAGUCCUCAGUCAGAGCCCAGGAAGUCCAGAAGCAAGAGGAAAAGCAGUGGGGAUGUGGAAGGACUGCUAGGAAGCACAGGGCAGUAACCAUGCAGUCCCCUGUAUGCCAGCUGUUCUGUAACACCAUUGUAAAGUAACUGUAAAAGUAAAAAUAGUACAUUUAUAUUA